CCAGACUCCUACGGGAGGCAGCAGCUAAGAAUAUUCCGCAAUGGACGGAAGUCUGACGGAGCGACGCCGCGUGGAUGAAGAAGGCUGAAAAGUUGUAAAAUCCUUUUGUUGAUGAAGAAUAAGGGGAAGAGGGAAUGCUUCUCUGAUGACGGUAAUCGACGAAUAAGCCCCGGCUAAUUACGUGCCAGCAGCCGCGGUAACACGUAAGGGGCGAGCGUUGUUCGGAAUUAUUGGGCGUAAAGGGCAUGUAGGCGGCUAUGUAAGCCUGAUGUGAAAUCCUGGGGCUUAACCCUAGAAUAGCAUUGGGUACUGUAUAGCUUGAAUUACGGAAGGGAAACUGGAAUUCCAAGUGUAGGGGUGGAAUCUGUAGAUAUUUGGAAGAACACCGGUGGCGAAGGCGGGUUUCUGGCCGAUAAUUGACGCUGAGAUGCGAAAGUGUGGGGAUCGAACAGGAUUAGAUACCCUGGUAGUCCACACCGUAAACGAUGUACACUAGGUGUUGGGGCAAGAGCUUCAGUGCCAAAGCAAACGCGAUAAGUGUACCGCCUGGGGAGUAUGCCCGCAAGGGUGAAACUCAAAGGAAUUGACGGGGGCCCGCACAAG
rnacentral:rRNA from 1 species